rnacentral:rRNA from 1 species
AUGGAUAAGAGUUGGAUGCGAGCAGCAAGGUCUUCCACCGAGAAUUCUGAAGGAACUAGCAACUUCAUAAAAUUUGCUUUUCGUACGUCAACAAAAAAUAAUAGGAUUCUCUUCCCUUGCAAGAUAUGUGUAAACUCUCGUUGGUUAGGUGAACUUGAAGUCUAUGAUCAUUUGAUUUAUGAUGGAUUCAUGGCUGGAUAUACCACAUGGAUUCAUCAUGGAGAAACUAUGCGGCCCUCCGAAACAACUUCAGGUCCUAGUUCACAGUUUGAAGAAUAUGCUGAUAGUGAUGAGAUGGAUGAGAUGCUACUGUAA